rnacentral:lncRNA from 1 species
UAAAAUUAAAAUACUUACUCAAUAUAUGGUUGAACUUCCUCACAAUUAAGCAGGACAUGCAAAUGCACAGUAGCUAAUUCUUUCUCAUUCAAAUAAUGACUCUUACAAGUUCCUCCUGGACGACCAACAUGAUUGAAAAUUGAUAAAGUUCUUUGGCUCGUGUCAUUUUGACCUCCAAAAUCAUUUCGACCAACUUUAGUUCUCAUUGAUUGGACAUGUGACUCAAAAUAAUAUGAACAAAAAUGAGAAGUCUCCAAGCUUAAGUACGCCUCACAAAUAGAACCCUCUACAUGGGAUUUGUUUUUAACCAUUCGUUUCAAC